rnacentral:lncRNA from 1 species
CUCCAGUUUUUCAGUAGCAGACACAUGAGGGUUUACCAGGACCCUAGACGCAGGCCAUCUAGACACAAGGAGGGAGGACAAUAGCCAAUCCCAUGCCUGCUCUUGGAGGAAUUCUUUAGGCCACGCUCUCCCACCCCUUUGUUUUGGUCACAGACCUACCUGUCCCAUCUCCUCUCCCCUUCCAAGGUAAACUUCCCUUUCGGCUCCCUUGCAAACUAAAGCCUUAACGGAGGUUGGCAAGGGUUUCUAUCCUGAGCCCAAAGUUUUGCCUCCUGCGAGGCAAAACCUUUGGGCCCAAGAGUAAAUACACAACAGCAGUGUGAGGACUUUGCUCCCAGGAUGAGCCUCCUGCCACUUCCCCACCCAGGACAGUCAAUUUGGACACAUGAGACAAACUAUGGAUUCCAAGAGCUUCUGUUCACACUCUGUUUAACCUUGGCCUGCUCCGCAGAGCAGGUGCACAAUCGAGCCCAAACUCAUGUCACUUACCAAACCAAUAAAGCCAAACCAAAGUCUUUGGUACUAAAGAUGAGAAUUGUGUUUCGAUUCAAGUCCAAAAUACAUUCCAGCUCCCCCCAAACCACAAGUACAGAAAACACAGAACACGUGUCUGUUGUAUUCUUCAGACGGUCUCCCUUCAGCAAAGGGAAUGAUAGGUCCCCCUUCCAACGAUACCAUUUGGAAAUCUAACCAGUUAAAGUUCCAGGAUAUCAAAGUACUCGCCCAGGACCUUGACACUGACCUUCACCGGCUGGGUGGUUCAGCAUCAGUUUGCACGACUAUUAGACACUCCCUACGGUGAGCUGAGCCCCCAUUCCUGUCCACCAGGCUGCAGACCAUUGAGGACACGUUUUAUUUGAAGUUACUACACAUUCCACUAAGUGACCUCAAUUAUUCAAAGCAAAUAAUGAACAGCAAAUCUAGGCCUCAAUCUGUAAGAAGAUGAUACAUCCUACUUCAUUAUCAAGAUAACUUGUUUACAGAAAAGAUAAAGGUCGAAAAACAUAAGAUAGCAAUACAAAUUAAAGAGUUUUAGAACUCAAACCUUUAUUUGUGCUGUAAAGAAAAUGAUUAGUAAUCAUGUACACGAUGCAACAGAAGACUAGUUCUCAGCACAGAGCAACACAGAAGUACUUUACGCAGUGUAACAGCUUCCAUUUCACAACAGCAUACACAAACACAUUUCCCCAUAUGCGCAUGACUAAUAAAUUCUGAGGACAGGAAUUACAUCAUACCCAAGUCAUGAUGAAAAGCUGAACGAUACCAACAUAUUUUUAAACAUUAAAAAAGAACCCAUAAGACAAAAAUCCCAGAAGCAAAAGGUAUUGGGGAUUUUAAAUUUUUAGUGAAAUCUAAGGUUAGAGGCACAGGAGAAAGAGCUACUGGUAUUACUUUACCAACUCCCUGGAUGCAUCUCAGAAACACGUAAUCAUAAAUGGUUUUCUUGUCUUUCCCUGAAUUUUUAAAAACAGACCACAUCUAGCAAAGGCUCCCCGCUCCCCCCCGCCACCAUUUUGCCUGUUCCCCAAACUGAUUUUGGCUGAGAGUUGCUCCAGUGCUGGAUCAAUCUGAAAAGCACAAAUGUUCAAACUAAAGAUAGAAUCGAUUCACUCAACCUUUGCAAGGCUACAUGGAUUGUUUGCUAUUAUAUAUCACAGUAAUUUUACAGUGACCAUAAAAAGGUUAUUCUGUUACAAAAACUAAUAGCAAAAAUUUUUACUGCUAUUAAUACGGACCACAAAGGCAAGAGAUGUGUUUGAGACAUAAAAUUCCUAUCAUUGCACGUUCACUUUGCUCAGAAUUUUCAACCACAACAUCUCAGUAAAUAGAAAUGUUCCAAACCCCAAAGAGUACAUCUAAUCUCAAGUGCACACCACAAUUUUAAACUUCAAUACUUUAAAAGCUCACAAUUUGCACAUUUAAAGUCCUUUCUAAGACUUACAGCUCCCCAACACCCGCACACCUUCAUAUAAACCACUGAAAAAGCUCACGGAGCAGCAAAGGCUAGUGAGCACUCUGCCGACGGGGACUCCUGCCACCCAGCUUUCAUGGGACUUGUACUCAUGUUCAGUUGUCCUCCCUCUUUCCCACCUUGCAGCAAGGCAAAACAAUUUUAGCUUCUUUCUAAAGUUUUGAAGCAAUCUUUUGUGCUUUCGAAGCACAAUGUAACUAGCACUAACAAUUUAGUAGCGUUAACUAGUACCUUCUUCCCCUGUGAGUCGAUUACCUUCCCCAGAAUUUUACCCUUUUUGUCGGAAUUCCCUUCCAACCCCCAUUCCCUACCACCCCUACCCUCUGCAACGUAUACGGUAUCAACCCAACCCUCUCCCUUUCCUCACCCCCACCCCUCCCAGUACCAAUGCCAACGUGUACCACUCCAACUGUCACCCCUGCCAGAACCGAUGCCAAGGUGUGCCCCCCCCCCAACCCUCACACCUCAGUUGGGUCCUCCCAUUUGAAGUUUACUUUCAAAUUAAAUCAAGCAAAAUCCACAUUAACAAAUACAUAGAAGCAUCAAAGAUCACUGGUAGUCCCCCAACCAUUUCCCUCACUUAGUCAUCUGUGAUGCAGUCAGAAUGCCCAAAGACCUGCCAUUUCUAACAGAAUUUGGCCACAACCAACUUGUACCCACCCCUGGACUGUAGCAUAACACGACNNNNNNNNNNNNNNNNNNNNNNNNNNNNNNNNNNNNNNACCCCCUUCAGUUUGCCAGUAGGCUUCAUUGAAGUAUUUGCUCAAGGCAUUUCAAAUGUGAACACUUUCCCCAGACACAGGUUAGACCAUCACACUAAUUCCUCCAACCAACGUGCAGGCAGGCAGGCGCGUGGGUAGGUGAACGAGUCACUGGGCUCCAUCUGCAAGAUUCAUCUACAAGGCAUGACUCUGCGUUGUGGCACGUUAGAACGUCCUACAGCUUAAGAAUCUUCUUGAAGCCAUGUUCGUAGCACAGAACUAGCAAAGACCGAAGGCUCAAUUUAGAAGACGCAGCAUCUGAAAACCUCCGCCCCAGAGAAGGAGGGGUGCCUGGGGGUUGGUUGGUGCUCCGGGAUCAAACAUUCAAAGCAACAGAUCUGCUGAUGGCCCGAUGCAUCUGCUUUGGACUUUGAAUGAUUGCCCCCUCAUGAGCUCAUCUGAAAACCUUAAAUGGUGGCUGCCUGAAUACAGGGCUUCCUGAGCAAGGCCUGGAAACAGGACACUGGAGAAACUUCCACCUCCUAAGCCUCUGGAAAUUCAAUCUGCAGACAUCAACUUAGGCGGGCUCUCUCCUUCAGGGUCUCCCCUCCUGCACUGCUACGACUCACACUGGCCAUGGGCUCCAUUUCUCCUGGUGCCAUCUGAUCACCACGAUGAACACUAUAGUAACAAACCAUGGUCCAUGAGGCAUUUCGUAACUUUCAGCUGGUGCCGUCGCUGCAGGCCCACCCAAGGGUACACAUUCAGUCCCCACCCUCUCCGCAGGCAAGCAAGACCACCCCACCCCACCCCGAGUCUCAGCAGGGCGUGCCUCUCCUCCUCCACGAUUACCGACAUAACCGAACUUCUCAAGGCCGUUGCCAACUUUCCCAGGCUUACCAGGUUACCAGAAGCAAUGUUUUAAACGAAUGGAUAACCUCAAGAGAGUUAAAGGGAGGAGGAAGGGCAGAGUGAGCUCACAGAAGAAGUUAGCACGGAACCUAGAGGAAAAGUCCAAAGGGGAGCACUGCCACCUGGAAAAUAAAGCUUGGGUCAAUUUUGUCCCCACACACACAAAUAUCCUGCCUCAGCAGCCCCAGCCUGUCAGGCGUCAGGCGCCACACCAGUAACCGCUUUGAUGGCACCCUACCUCGCACCCUACCUCACUCACUCCUGAGACCACCCUUACCUCCGACAAAGGGUCUGACCUCACACCCAGGACUGGUGUGUGACCCAGGACUGGGGUUCACCAGGCUGGGCAUGGCCUGGACCCUGUCCCAGGCCGAACCAAAAUUACAUACCACCCUGGGCCAGAGCUGUCAGGCCCGCGAAGCUAAGUUCAGUAUCCACAAGACCAGGCCUCAUCCCCACGCGGGUUCACAACCCUCUGAAAAAAAAGGGGGCUGCUGACAUUGACGAGUUCGAGGUCUGCCCUCCCAGCCCUCCUGGGGCCCUGCACCCCACUGCCUUCCUUCCUGAUCAUGCUCAGGGAGCCAAAUGCCCAAUUCCGCUUCCUCUCCAGUAAGGGCGUUGAGAUCCUGUUCUCCUCCUGCUUCUAACUUCUCUCCUCCUCCCACACAAACCAGGGCACGGGGCUCGCUCGGCCCACGCAGGAGCGGUGCCCUCCUAGAGGCCAAGUUCCCGUUCUCCAGAAGGAAGCGACAGCCAGGGCUAAAGGGCUGUCCUCCCCUGGGUCACUGCGGGGACCUUCAACGCAGCUCUCCCCACCAUACGUUCCCCAAGAUCUCGUUUCCUCUUUAACCUUUCUUAGUCUCACACCCCAACCCCCUCGAGUCUCAUCUAAGCCUGUCAUCUCCCCCAUCUGCCC